rnacentral:lncRNA from 1 species
UUUCAUUUACUCUUGGAUUUAAACCACGCAAUUUCUGAUUGCGUGUCCUAAUUUCCUAUGAUACACAUUAACUAGGAAAUAAUUAGUUUCACUCAGAAGCAUCAAAAUAUGUUGUCUCUCAAGCACUGGAAGUUUUCACUAGUUCUUCAAACUCUUCAUAACUACCUAUUGAAGUUUUUUCUUCCUAGGUGGAAACAGAGCUAUAAUUUUGAAGACAAGGACGUUCUCACUGACUAUCAGGGUACAACAUGAACUUUAUACUCCAGAACCAAAGGAAGGAAGAAGGCACGUGAACAAAUAACAUUCUGGAAAAUUUUUUGGCUGAGCUACAUUGUAAAAACUAUUAAGAUGCAGUUUCAGAUUGUCACUGUGGAAGAUCAAAACACACCUAUCAAUAUUUUGGGAAACAAAAUUUCUAAUCAGAGUUACAUGGAAAGUAAAGAUAUAAUUUUCUAAAUCUUUCUCUAUGAAAUACAAGUAAAUAUUCCAUAUUAUUUUAAUGUAUUUUUAGCAAUUAGGUAUACUUUUUUUUAUUUUCAUAUUUCUUAGAAAGUUGUGUGCUAACACUUUUACAUCCAUACUAAAAUGGCCUUUAAAAAUUAAGGAUUUAAAGGCAGUUAUUGAGAGGAGGGGAAAGCCUACCUGUGAUAAAGACACUGAG